rnacentral:rRNA from 1 species
AUUGAACGCUGGCGGCAGGCCUAACACAUGCAAGUCGAACGGUAACAGGAAGAAGCUUGCUUCUUUGCUGACGAGUGGCGGACGGGUGAGUAAUGUCUGGGAAACUGCCUGAUGGAGGGGGAUAACUACUGGAAACGGUAGCUAAUACCGCAUAACGUCGCAAGACCAAAGAGGGGGACCUUCGGGCCUCUUGCCAUCGGAUGUGCCCAGAUGGGAUUAGCUAGUAGGUGGGGUAACGGCUCACCUAGGCGACGAUCCCUAGCUGGUCUGAGAGGAUGACCAGCCACACUGGAACUGAGACACGGUCCAGACUCCUACGGGAGGCAGCAGUGGGGAAUAUUGCACAAUGGGCGCAAGCCUGAUGCAGCCAUGCCGCGUGUAUGAAGAAGGCCUUCGGGUUGUAAAGUACUUUCAGCGGGGAGGAAGGGAGUAAAGUUAAUACCUUUGCUCAUUGACGUUACCCGCAGAAGAAGCACCGGCUAACUCCGAG